GUGGGUUAAGGCUCCUGUGAGGAUCUUUCAGAUAUGUGGAAUUUGGCGCCCUGUGGACAGAGCACUACCUACUUGCUCUUCAUUGAUCCUGUCCUGUACAUGAAUAGCAUUACUAUCCCGCUCCAGCUACAGAAGAGUAAAGGAAACAUUCUAACUUAUCAUGGUGUGACUGCUGACCUGGUCAUGGUGCGGUAGGCUUCCUCGGCCACAGAGAAGAUGUGAGGUUCCAUGUCGCCCAUGUCCUGACCACUGUAGGCAUCAAUCACCUCCUCUCCAUAUAUGGGGAGCUGGUCGUAGGGAUUGAUAGCCACUAACACAAUACCUGGAGGGACAGAUCACUCCGCUGCGGACCUCAGCCGCAUCACUACCUGCCUGUCUCGCCGGGGCACCAGGGCUACAUCCGCAAGGAAAAACAUAGGACAGCCUGGACCGCUAGGCAGCCAGCACGAGACAGGAAGUAAGAGGCUUAUAACUUCAGAAUAAAAAACAAAAGCUUUGACAUAUAAUUAAAGCAUCAAGCGUU